rnacentral:rRNA from 1 species
ACACAUGCAAGUCGAGGGGCAGCAUUUUAUUUUGCUUGCAAACUGAAGAUGGCGACCGGCGCACGGGUGAGUAACACGUAUCCAACCUGCCGAUAACUCCGGGAUAGCCUUUCGAAAGAAAGAUUAAUACCGGAUAGUAUACGAAUAUCGCAUGAUAUUUUUAUUAAAGAAUUUCGGUUAUCGAUGGGGAUGCGUUCCAUUAGUUUGUUGGCGGGGUAACGGCCCACCAAGACUACGAUGGAUAGGGGUUCUGAGAGGAAGGUCCCCCACAUUGGAACUGAGACACGGUCCAAACUCCUACGGGAGGCAGCAGUGAGGAAUAUUGGUCAAUGGGCGCGAGCCUGAACCAGCCAAGUAGCGUGAAGGAUGAAGGCUCUAUGGGUCGUAAACUUCUUUUAUAUGGGAAUAAAGUUUUCCACGUGUGGAAUUUUGUAUGUACCAUAUGAAUAAGGAUCGGCUAACUCCGUGCCAGCAGCCGCGGUAAUACGGAGGAUCCGAGCGUUAUCCGGAUUUAUUGGGUUUAAAGGGAGCGUAGGUGGAUUGUUAAGUCAGUUGUGAAAGUUUGCGGCUCAACCGUAAAAUUGCAGUUGAAACUGGCAGUCUUGAGUACAGUAGAGGUGGGCGGAAUUCGUGGUGUAGCGGUGAAAUGCUUAGAUAUCACGAAGAACUCCGAUUGCGAAGGCAGCUCACUAGACUGUCACUGACACUGAUGCUCGAAAGUGUGGGUAUCAAACAGGAUUAGAUACCCUGGUAGUCCACACAGUAAACGAUGAAUACUCGCUGUUUGCGAUAUACAGUAAGCGGCCAAGCGAAAGCAUUAAGUAUUCCACCUGGGGAGUACGCCGGCAACGGUGAAACUCAAAGGAAUUGACGGGGGCCCGCACAAGCGGAGGAACAUGUGGUUUAAUUCGAUGAUACGCGAGGAACCUUACCCGGGCUUAAAUUGCAACAGAAUAUAUUGGAAACAGUAUAGCCGUAAGGCUGUUGUGAAGGUGCUGCAUGGUUGUCGUCAGCUCGUGCCGUGAGGUGUCGGCUUAAGUGCCAUAACGAGCGCAACCCUUAUCUUUAGUUACUAACAGGUUAUGCUGAGGACUCUAGAGAGACUGCCGUCGUAAGAUGUGAGGAAGGUGGGGAUGACGUCAAAUCAGCACGGCCCUUACGUCCGGGGCUACACACGUGUUACAAUGGGGGGUACAGAAGGCGGCUACCUGGUGACAGGAUGCUAAUCCCAAAAACCUCUCUCAGUUCGGAUCGAAGUCUGCAACCCGACUUCGUGAAGCUGGAUUCGCUAGUAAUCGCGCAUCAGCCAUGGCGCGGUGAAUACGUUCCCGGGCCUUGUACACACCGCCCGUCAAGCCAUGAAAGCCGGGGGUACCUGAAGUACGUAACCGCAAGGAGCGUCCUAGGGUAAAACUGGUAAUUGGGGCUAAGUCAUAACAAG